CCCCUCUCAGGGUCACACCUAGAGAGUUUCCAGAACUCUACCGGUCUUGGCUACGGGAGGAAAUGUGAAGCAGAAGCCUACCCAUUCCAUACCUAGCUUGGGCAGUGGCUAGUGAGUGGAAAGUAAUCUGCUACAAGU